rnacentral:rRNA from 1 species
UAUCUGCCAUGAGUUUAUUUGAAUGGCCGCAGUAAUUUGACUGUGCAAAGGUAGCAUAAUAAUUAGGCUUUUAAUUGRAGUCUGGUAUGAAUGAUUGGAUGAGAAAAUGACUUUCUUUAAUUUUUUAUUUGAAUUUAAUUUUUAAGUGAAAAAGCUUAAAUGUUUCUAUGGGACGAUAAGACCCUAUAGAGCUUUAUUAGUUAUUUUUUAUUAUUUUUAUUUUUUAAUUUUAUUAUUUUAUUAAUUAUUUUGUUGGGGUGAUAGUUAAAUUUUUAAAACUUUAAUUUUUUUUUUCAUUAAUUUAUGUUUUUUUUGAUCUUUUAUUAUUGAUUUUAAUAUUAAUUACUUUAGGGAAACAGAAAUUUUUUUUUAAAAAUUU